rnacentral:rRNA from 1 species
GGGUGCCAUCAUACCAGCACUAAUGCACUGGAUCCCAUAAGAACUCCGAAGUUAAACGUGCUUUGGCGAGAGUAGUAAUAAGAUCGGUGACCUCUUGGGAAGUCCUCGUGUUGCACCUC